rnacentral:lncRNA from 1 species
UCCCACAGUUUGUUUACCCACUCACCUGUUGAAGGACAUCUUAGUCAUUUCUAGUUUUUGGCUAUUGUGAAUGGAGCUGCUAUAGACAUUUGUAUAUAGGUUGUUGUGUGAAAGUAAGUUUUCGUUUGUCCUUAAUUAAAUGCCCAGAAGUGCUGGGUCAUGUGAUAAUUGCAUGUUUGGUUUCCUAAGAAACUGACAGACCUUUUUCCAGUGUGACUGCACCAUUUUAUUUUACAUUUCCACCAGUAACGUGAAUGAUGCAGGUGCUCUGCAUCCUUGCCAGCAGUUGAUGUUGUCACUAUUGUUUUGUUUCAGUCAUUCUGAUAAUUAUGUUAAUGAUUUUGUGGUUUAAUUUUAUUUCCCUAAUGGCUAGUAAUAUUGAACUUUUUUUUUUUUUUUUUUGUCAUCUGUGUAUCUUCUUCAGUGAAGUGUUUUUUCACUUGGAUUGCUUGUUUUUUUACUGUUGAGUUUUGAGAGUUCUUUAUAUAUUCCAGAAAUAAAGCAAGAAGUAUGUGCUAGUACUUGUUGGAUAUGUGGUUUGCACAUAUUUUAUCCUACUCUAUAGCUGGUCUUUUCAUCCUUUUAAUAGGAUCUUUUGUAGAGAUUUUUUUGAAAUUUGAUGAAAUCUAAUGUAUCCAUUUUUUCUCUUAAUGACUAAUGCAUUUUAUGUUAGGUCUAAGAACUCUUUGCCUAACCCUAAGUCCUAAAAAUUUUCUCUCUCACUUGUUUCUAAACUUUAUUUUAUGCUUACAUUUUGACAUUUUUACAUAAUUUCACUUUUAUGUCUGUGAUCAAUUUUGGGUUUAUAAAUUGUGAUACCUAGGUUGAAUUUCAUUUUUCCCUUAUGGAUGUCCAGUUGCUCUACCACUGUUUCUUGAAAAAGCCAUCUUUCCUCUAUUGAAUUGCUUGUGCACUUUUUUAAAAGAAAUAAGUUGAACAUAUUCGUAUAGGUCUAUUUCUGGGUUCUUCAUUCUGUUUCAUUGAUCUAUGUGUAUAUUCCUCUUCCAAUAACACACGGUCUUGAUUGUUGUAACUACGUAAUAAGACAUGAAAUUGGGUAGACCUAGUCCUUCCAUGCUAUUCUCCUUUUUCAAACUGGUUUUCUUAUUAUAGAUCCUUUACCUUUUCAUAUAAAUUUUUAAAUAAUUUUGUCUAUAUCUUAAAAAAAUCUGCUGGAACUUGAGUAUGAACUGCUUUAAACCUGUAUAUCAACUUGGGGAGAGCUGACCUCUUUCCUCUGCUGAAUCUUCUAAUCCGUGAACUUGGUAUUUGUCCUCAUUUGUUUAGAUCCGCUUUGAUUUCUUUCAUCAGCAUUUUGUGGGUUUCAACAUGGAAGUCCUAUGCAUGUUUUAUUAAUGCUUAUUUAUUUUUAAUUUUCUCUAUGUGUUUCUUUCUGGAUAGUUUUUACUGCUAUGACUUCAAGUUCACUACAUUUUUAAAAAAGGUAUUUUUAAAAAAUAUCUACUCCUAAUUCUGUCCAAUGACUUUUUAUUGUACAUUACAGUUCUCAUCUCUGGAAGUUUGAUUUAGAUCAUUUCUAUAUUUUCCAUGUCUCUACUUAAUUUUAUAAUCUGUGAUGUGGUUAUAAUAACUUUUAUUUUUUUUUAUUUUUUUAUUUUAUUUAUUUUUUAUUUAUUUUUGUUAUAAUAACUUAAAUGCCAUUGUCUCCAAAUUCUGUAGGGACAAUUUCAGCAGUUUGCUAGGAUUCAUUUUUAAUUUCUUAGAUUAUGAGUUACUAGUCCAGUAGGUAGUAUUAAUUUUAAACUCUGUGCUCAGGGGCAUCUGGGUGGCUCAGUGUUGAAUGCCUGCCUUUGGCUCAGGUCAUGAUCCUGGGAUCCUAGGAUCGAGUCCCACAUCAGGCUCCCUUUGGGGAGCCUGCUUCUCUCUCUGCCUCUCUCUCUCUGUGUCUCUCAUGAAUAAAUAAAUUUAAAAAAUAUUUUUUAAAAAACAAUAAAAAAUAAGGGAUUCCUGGAUGGCUCAGCGGUUUAGUGCGUGCCUUUGGCCCAGGGCGUUAUCCUAGAGUCCCGGGAUCGAGUUCCGCAUCAGCUUCCCUGCAUGGAGCCUGCUUCUCCCUCUGCUUGUGUCUCUGCCUCUUUCUCUGUGUCUCUCAUGAAUAAAUAAAUGAAAUCUAAAAAUAUAUAUAUAAAUAAUUUAAAAAUAAACUGUGCUCAGUAAUACAGACUAUGAUUAUAAAUUCUUAGGGGACAUCCCCACUAUCACUCCAAAACCUAGGCAAGGACUAUAACCUUUGUUAUCUCUCUUUGCUAGUGGGAAGAUUUUUUUUUUUUUUUCUAAUUUUUACUUUCAUGAGUCCAGGCAUUUGGUUGGUUGUGGUGUGUGUGUGUGUGUGUGUGUGUGUGUGUAGCCCCAGUUCCUCCUUGCGUCAUGUGGCUUCCUGAAUAUUAUAAUUCAACCUCUGCAGAUAUCAAGAUCUUCAAAUUUCUACUAUUUCUGGUCGUGUUGGCCAAAGCAGUGAGGGCAGCUAAACUCUGGUUUUAGUUUCUUGUUCAGUUUUGGUACCUGGGUAUAUUUUCCUGUGAGCUAAAAUGAUGUUUUAAAUUAUAUCUUAUCCUAAAUUUCUAGAUAACUAGUUUAUAUCAUUCACUAUAUUGCCUUAAAUGAAACACUGCCUAGAGAUAUUUUUGGUCUCAAAAUCAUUGCUAUAGUAAUAUAGUUAAUGCUAUUAUUCCUUUAACACUUGUCUGGUAUAUCCAUUCUUUAACUUUCAGUCCUUUUGCAUUUUUAUGUUUUGGUAGUACCUAAUAAAUAUAUAACAUUUUUUCCCUAGAUGAACGUUAGGAUCAUUUCACGAGUUCCAAAACAAAUCCUGUUAUUGGGAUGCCUGGGUGGCUCAGUGGUUGAGUGUCUGCCUUCAGCUCAGGGCAUGAUCCCCCGGGGGUCCUGGGAUCGAGUUCCGUAUCGGGCUCCUUGCAUGGAGCCUGCUUCUAUCUCUGCCUCUCUCUCUGCCUCUCUCUCUGCCUCUCAUGAAUAAAUAAAA